rnacentral:rRNA from 1 species
UACGUAGGGUGCGAGCGUUGUCCGGAAUUAUUGGGCGUAAAGAGCUCGUAGGCGGUCUGUCGCGUCUGCUGUGAAAUCCCGAGGCUCAACCUCGGGCUUGCAGUGGGUACGGGCAGGCUAGAGUGCGGUAGAGGAGAGUGGAAUUCCUGGUGUAGCGGUGAAAUGCGCAGAUAUCAGGAAGAACACCCGUGGCGAAGGCGGCUCUCUGGGACGGUACUGACGCUGAGACGCGAAAGCGUGGGGAGCGAACAGG